GAUGAGCGCUGGCGGCGUGCCUAAUACAUGCAAGUCGAGCGAACAGACGAGGAGCUUGCUCCUCUGACGUUAGCGGCGGACGGGUGAGUAACACGUGGAUAACCUACCUAUAAGACUGGGAUAACUUCGGGAAACCGGAGCUAAUACCGGAUAAUAUAUUGAACCGCAUGGUUCAAUAGUGAAAGACGGUUUUGCUGUCACUUAUAGAUGGAUCCGCGCCGCAUUAGCUAGUUGGUAAGGUAACGGCUUACCAAGGCAACGAUGCGUAGCCGACCUGAGAGGGUGAUCGGCCACACUGGAACUGAGACACGGUCCAGACUCCUACGGGAGGCAGCAGUAGGGAAUCUUCCGCAAUGGGCGAAAGCCUGACGGAGCAACGCCGCGUGUGUGAUGAAGGUCUUCGGAUCGUAAAACUCUGUUAUUAGGGAAGAACAAAUGUGUAAGUAACUAUGCACGUCUUGACGGUACCUAAUCAGAAAGCCACGGCUAACUACGUG
rnacentral:rRNA from 1 species